AAAAAAUUUGUUCCUGAUUUGAUCAGGACUUGGAUUCAAUUAAUUCCUAAUUAGGUUAAAAAUUUAUUAAGAUAAUUGUGUUCCUAAUUAGAUUAGAUUCUUUCCUCUUAUUGGGUUCAAACUAGAUCUGAUUUGAUUUGAAAUCAAAUUGGAAAUGAAGAGUCCCAGCCAACUGGGACUCUCUCCCUUGUGCGAGCCCU
rnacentral:lncRNA from 1 species